GCCAAUCUUUAGCCAAUCACAUUUGGCGAGGCGGGACUUGGCUCCGUUUGUGAACAUGUCUGCGAUAAGCAACAUUUCCAAGGUGGAAGAACUAAUGACAUAAAAUGGAUGGAGUUCGACUCUGAUUAUUAACUUUUUCUUACGGACAGGAAAUGUAGAAGACGAACACAUAGUAAAGUGAAAAAGACAUGCAGGGCGGGAUCAGUUUUUGAGAAAAGCAAGGUGACCUUACAAAACUGGAUGAAGUUCAUAUACCGUAUGGACGUGGGAGAGUAGGUGGAAGAUGGAAAAGGAAAAAGUGGGUGUUCGGCAUGCUGGCCAUUAAAGCUCAAAGACGACGACCGAUUUUGCGACUCGUAGAACGCCGUUCAAGAAAUCAUCUCAUUAUCAGAAGACAUGUUCGCCCAGGAUCCACAAUGUUAAGUGAUGAGUGGAGACACUACAGGGCUUUGACAGGGAUGGGCUACUCUCACUACUCUGUGAAUCACAGCAGGUUCUUUGUUAACCCAAAUCAUGGAGGACACACACAACAUCUUGAAAGGGCAUGGUCUACAUACAAAAGUCAGAUCUGGAGAUUGAGAGGCAACAAGACCGAGAAGCUCUUGAAGGAACACCUGGCCUGUAUUGAAUGGACUCAUUGGAUGGGGAUGGAGCACAGAUAUGGUCCUCUGGGGCGUUUGAUGAAGGAUAUUAGAAAGUAUUACUGCAUUUAAGACAUUACAUUGGAUAAUGUUAUUCAAACAUUGUUCAGUAAAGUAAUUUGAGGACAUAAAGCUAAUACAUUUUUUUAAACAGCC
ensembl:lncRNA